AGAUGUGAGGGGGAUCUGGCUGUGACAUCUGUCACCCCAUUGAUCGCCAGGGUUGAUUCGGCUGAUCUGGCUGGCUAGGCGGGGGUCCCCUUCCUCCCUCACCACUCCAUGUGCGUCCCUCCUGAAGCUGCGGGCUUGGUCGAAGAGGACGACCACCCCCAAUAGAGGAGGACUGUUCCUCUGUCAAGGGUAUACGAGUAGCUGCGCUCCCUUGCUAGAACCUCCAAACAAGCUCUCAAGAAUAUAUUCAUGAACUUAAUGUCAUUCCAUAUUACUUCAAAAAUUUGUUCAUUUUU
rfam:Heterocephalus glaber contig44286, whole genome shotgun sequence.